CCCAACUUGAAUAGCCUUAUCAAGUUUUUAUUUUGUACGACCCUGACAGUUUAGUGUUUACAUUGUGUAUUUAUUGACGUUUCGAUAAUCGAAUUAACCGAUCGCUAUAAUAAAGGUGCUACUAUAUGGCCGUUGGGAACCGAGAAAAAGGGAUUAUGCAAAUAAAAUAUGGUUGCAUACACAUAAAUGCUGUUUUGAAAGCGACAGACAGAGAGACGGUUCUCGUCCUGCUCGUAAAACAAACGUGCGAAAACAGUUAAGAGAAUGACACAUGGCAGAUGGUUUCGACAAUUUAUAUGUACGCAUUGCGGAGAGAGGAAAAUCUCUCGCUUUAGUGAAAUGCACACAUAGAGGAGAGAGAUGGUCCUGUUGUGUACCAGUUAAGACAGUCCACUAGGAGAGGAACAUGUAAAUAAAUGUAUGUUUAUUUAAUCGCAUUGGAACCUGACCAAAAAAGGGGUGUCGUAAUGUACUUUGUGCCGUUGAGGUGAAUGCCUCGAAACGUGUGAAAAGGAAGGGACAAAGGGAGAAAAAAAUGUUUUCUUGGUUCUCAGGCGAUUUCCAGACGACCGGGCGCAAUAGGGCUGAACUUGUUUUAAAGGGCUAUACGAAGAGACGCGCCAUAUUGUCGGCGCUUUAUACAUGGUGUUCCAACUAAAAUCGUAAUCGCGGCCAUUUAUUCUUACUUUUUGGAAAAAUUUUUUUUUUCGAUUUAAGAAAAAAAAUUACCUGGAACUGAUAAAGAUUUAAUUUUUAAGAAAAUCUACUGUUAUCACAAAAUACAA